rnacentral:lncRNA from 1 species
AUUUUUACACACCCCAUCUUUAAUUAUAGAUAUCCGAUGUAGGUAUUACACCAUCUUCAAUGGUAGUACUUAUUUUUUUUAAGUACUAAUAUCUAAGAGGUACCACAAUUGGAGCAAUAACAAAAUAGUACCUAAUAGGUACUGAAUCUAAAAUAAGACUUGGUACUUAUACUAUUUUUUGUGAGACCCUUUAAAAAAUAUGUAAAGUUAUUGGUGAGAUGUGUUAUUGGUAGGACCUAUAUAAAACUUUUUAAGAGUUGUUUGGUUAGAGGGAUCGAAUACUUAUUAGGUACUAUUAUUAAAAAAUUAUAAAUGAAUGAUGUGUACAUGUGAGACCUAGUUAAAUACCGAAAAAUAGAUCUAGGUAAUUAUUACCAAUAAUAAAUUGGUUAUAACAUGACAACCUAAAAAAAACUCAAUUGAAUAUUGUAGUAAAUAAAUUGACUCUUGUAUAUUCGUUAAUUGGUCCAAUGGUGAUUAGCGCUGGACUUGGUAGGGAUGAUCACAGUUCGGUCCUAGCAACUGCGAUCGGGAGGGGGCUGAAACAAAUUGAUGUCAGAACUGACCCCCGAACCAAAUUAAAUGGUUCAGUGAGCUGGAUACUGGUUGUGGAAAAAAAAUAGAUAUAUAUAUAUAUAUAGGGGAGGGAUCAAAUUACACUGNNNNNNNNNNNNNNNCAUUUGAGUAAUGUUACACCGCUCAAUAACACUUCAACGAAUACAAAUUUUACAAAAUUCAUCGUUGGAUUGAACUUUUAUAUCAUUUAGAUCAUUCAUGUUCAAUUUUACAAAAAUCUAAAAUGGUUUGAUAUGUUAUUGAGACUGAUCAAGAUUAACGCUUUAUGUGGUUUUAUUGAAUACCGUUAAGCUUGAUCAAUCUCAAAAACAUAUGAAAUGAUUUUAUAUUUUUAUAGAAUUGAACAUAAAUGAUCUAUAUGAUAUAAACUUUCAAUCCAGUGGUGAAUUUUGUAAAAUUUGUAUUCGUUAAAUCGUUAUUAAGUGGUAAUAUCACUACAAGAAAAAUUGCACAUACCCACGGCUUUUUUACCCAGGGCUGUUUUCCGUGGAUAAUACCCACGGCUUGGCCAUGGAUAAGGUAAAAAUAAGAAAAC